rnacentral:rRNA from 1 species
AGUGAACGCUGGCGGUAGGCCUAACACAUGCAAGUCGAACGGCAGCACAGUAAGAGCUUGCUCUUCCGGGUGGCGAGUGGCGGACGGGUGAGGAAUACAUCGGACUCUACUUUUUCGUGGGGGAUAACGUAGGGAAACUUACGCUAAUACCGCAUACGACCUACGGGUGAAAGCAGGGGAUCUUCGGACCUUGCGCGAUUGAAUGAGCCGAUGUCGGAUUAGCUAGUUGGCGGGGUAAAGGCCCACCAAGGCGACGAUCCGUAGCUGGUCUGAGAGGCUGAACAGCGACACUGGGACUGAGACACGGUCCAGACUCCUACGGGAGGCAGCGGUGGGGAAUAUUGGACGAUGGGCGCAAGCCUGAUCCAGCCGUACCGCGUGGGUGAAGAAGGCCUUCGUGUUGUAAAGCCCUUUUGUUGGGAAAGAAAAGCAGCAGGUUAAUACCCCGCUGUUCUGACGGUACCCAAAGAAGAAGCACCGGCUAACUUCGUG